rnacentral:rRNA from 1 species
AAAGGUUGACCUCGGAUCAGGUAGGAAUACCCGCUGAACUUAAGCAUAUCAAUAAGCGGAGGAAAAGAAACCAACAGGGAUUGCCUCAGUAACGGCGAGUGAAGCGGCAACAGCUCAAAUUUGAAAUCUGGCCCCCAGGCCCGAGUUGUAAUUUGUAGAGGAUGCUUCUGGCGACGCGCCUUCCGAGUUCCCUGGAACGGGACGCCAAAGAGGGUGAGAGCCCCGUCCGGUCGUGCGCCUAGCCUCUGUGAAGCUCCUUCGACGAGUCGAGUAGUUUGGGAAUGCUGCUCUAAAUGGGAGGUAUACGUCUUCUAAAGCUAAAUACCGGCCAGAGACCGAUAGCGCACAAGUAGAGUGAUCGAAAGAUGAAAAGCACUUUGAAAAGAGGGUUAAAUAGUACGUGAAAUUGCUGAAAGGGAAGCGCUUAUGACCAGACUUGGGCUUGGUGAAUCAUCCGGCGUUCUCGCCGGUGCACUUUGCCGGUCCAGGCCAGCAUCAGUUCGCUUCGGGGGAUAAAGGCUUCGGGAAUGUAGCUCCCUCGGGAGUGUUAUAGACCGUUGCGCAAUACCCUGGGGCGGACUGAGGUACGCGUUCUGCAAGGAUGCUGGCGUAAUGGUCAUCAGUGACCCGUCUUGAA